rnacentral:lncRNA from 1 species
CCCUUUCUGAACAUCUCUUUAUAGAUCUGUUAUUUGAUUCAGAAAUCUGUCCUAUAUCUAUAUCUGUUACAAAAAUCAGAUUUUUGAAUUAUAUAAGUGUCUCAGGCCAGAUCCAAAAAACAAAACACUGAGUUAUUUGUUUUCGAUUUUGGAUUUUGGAUUUGGUUCUUGAAAGAUUUAAUUCAAAGCAAUGGUUAAUGUUUAUAGCAAAAUCAGUGAUGUUCGUGUUGGGAAAUUGCCAUGUUUGUUGAAGGUUUGUGUGAUGUGUUUGUGGAUCGUGAAGUCAAAUUUCAUUCCUGGCCAGGAGAAUUCAAUUGAAAUGGUGCUUAUCGAUGAGAAGGUACAUUAGGUUAAUUAAAUCUAUUUGUGUUUUAUAUGCAUCACAAAAUUUAAUUGGUUAUUCAGUAAUAUUAGUUGUUUUCAGGGUUCCAAGAUUCAUGCUACUGUUCGAAGGCAUUUGAUUCAUAUGUUUA